rnacentral:rRNA from 1 species
AACGUAGGAGACAAACGUUAUCCGGAGUUACUGGGCGUAAAGGGCGUGUAGGCGGUUUGUUAAGUCUGGCGUGAAAGCUCUCGGCUAAACCGGGAGAGGUCGUUGGAUACUGGCAAACUAGAGGACGGUAGAGGCGUGUGGAAUUCCGGGUGUAGUGGUGAAAUGCGUAGAGAUGUGGAGGAACACCGAUGGCGAAGGCAGCCUCCUGGGCCAGCACUGACGCUCAUGCACGAAAGCGUGGGGAGCAAACAGG